CCCUGAGUCACUAUGGCUGACGAUGUAACAAUGGCUGGCACUGUGUACUUUGCUGCGUGUAGGAUUGACUAACAGGACUAUCUGAAAGGCUUUGACGGGAGCACCACCUUAGUGCUUGAGGCAUCUUUUGCUCUGUCUGACCAAUUUUUUACCGCAAGAUUUUCUUCUCAGUUAAGACAAAAAAAAAAAAGAUGUCUAAUCAAAGACUAUCUAUGCUUUCUCCCCUUCUGUUCUUCUGCUUCGUCAGAGAGAGUUCCUGCAUUUGUGACGGAACAACUUGGACAAAGGUCGGAUGGGAGAUUUUUCCAGAGGAAGUGCACUACCUGAAAGUUAAGGUUCCCCCAUCCCGCUGCCUGCCUUUCCCUCUGGACAAACUCUGCUGCAACUUUGCUAACAUGGACCUAUUACAGAGUUCCUUACACCUCACUUAUAUCUUAGUACAAGCUCUCUUCUUAAUCCUGUUUGUUCUAUCUGUGCAUUACCUAUGGAUGAAAUGGACGAGACACCAAAAAAAGCUGAAAAAGCAAGCCUCUUUAGAGAAGCAUGCUAACGACCGAGACCUGAGCCCCUCCAUCUAUGACAUUGAACAAAUACUCUGCAGACUGCUGGCCACCACGUCAAUGAUGACCAAGUUCCUGAAGCAGGUGUCUCACCAUUCUUCUGUUAAGAAAGUUAAGCAACAACGUAAAUUAAGGAGGAAGAAGAGUAAAGGAGGAGAGGAGCAAAAGAAUAUCACUAACCCUAAGCACAUGCAAAUGUAGCUUGGCGGAGAGUACGAAAGAAUCUAUUGCAAGGACUAUCUGAGGAGACAAAGGUUUCUUUGGGGGCUUGCUUCUUUUCUUUCUUUUUUUUUUUUUCUUGCCACAAUCAUUACUGAAAAUUUUUCACACAAGUCUGGGUUUCCGUUCGACUGAAAAAGAAUCCACACUUACAAACGUGGCUCCCAGAAUAAACUGAAAACACCUUAACUGGCACUUCAGGGUAU
rnacentral:lncRNA from 14 species